rnacentral:misc_RNA from 1 species
GACUGGAAAAAAGUCAAAAACCGCUUUUUAACAAGUAUUCUUGUUCUUCGAUCUAAUAACAAAUGAAAUCCAGAAGGGCCGUGGGACUCACAGGUUUAUUUGUGCACAGAGUGUCUGCUAUUAAAGAUAAAUAUAAUAAAGAAUAACAUAGAUGACAAAAUAAAGUUCUAAUGCUGAUGCGGAUAAGGUAUUGCAAUGUCGUCGUCGAAUUCUGCAAUGGAGGUUGAUGGAGCCCCAGGAGGUGCUCCUGGCCCUUUAAAGAGAAGUUCUAGUGCACCGAUGAUUAAUGAAGUUUCCAGUUGUAACAUGACAUCAGGCAGUUCCAGCAGCGCUACUCCCAGCAGUCAAGCUUCAUUUCCAAAUUUAUUCGGUUUUGUAAACUCCACCAGAAACCGACGACACAGUGCUAGUUUUAGUCAAGUUCCAGGAUCUCCGGUAUCUGGAGUGCGUCGAAUCAAUCAAUUACGCCGAGAAGAACAUGAAGUAAUGUCAGAUUCUCGGGAGCUUGCUCGUGAAAGAGAAAUACACAGCGCAAUGCAAAUAUCCCAGUCUUUGGAAGACCUUUCUAUAAUGACCGAAUCUCCAAGUGAUCCGAAGAGUAGCAGGAUGGGACCCAUUCAUGUCAACCUUCCUGCUAACAGCUUUAUGUGCAAUUCUCCUUCGCCAACUAGAUGUUUUGGCUUCCAAAGUCCUACACGUCGAAAUUUCGUACGACGCAGUGAGAGUCCAGUUUUGCGCCCUAGUCCACUUUUACGCGCAAAACGCAAACUUGAUGACAGAGACGUCGACUUUUCUAUUAGCCCCCGAGCCAAACGGGUCAAUACGUACUCAGGGAGUGAUGGCAGAGGAUUGUUAACCACUACAACAAAUUCCUUGCAAGGUUCCUUAAGUUCAGUUGGAACUCCUGAAAGCCUCUCUAGCGCGGAUUCUCCAGGUUCCGGAUUUGCAUUUCGUCCAGUUGACAGUCCAUCGCCGACACUGGAGGGUAGCAGUCAAGGAGAAUCCAUGAUGGGCAAAGGGGGAGAUCAAGACAUGGCUGAAAGUCCCAGCUAAUUAUCAUUCCAAAUAGAAAUGGAAGACGGAAAGAUUUACGCUUUUUGAAUAAGAAUGAAAUAGUAUGGUGUGAUGCAGUGUAAACAUUUUAAAAUCUGUGUGUUUUGUUGAUGUGUAGAUAUCUGUAAGUACUUGGGUUAGGUUUGAAAACGUAUUUAAAGUUUAUUAGAGCAAAGCCAAAGUAAUAUUUGAGAGACUCGCGGAGAAUUGUGAAAUAUAUACAUAUAUUUUGUAGUGUUAAGUAAUCCUUGUUUCCAAUGUUUUCAAGUGGUCAACCGCAGAUUUAUUCGGAUACUCUUAGCUUUUCCUAGCUUAGGCUCCGAUCUAAUUUGUUCUCACUGUUCUGCAAGAUUGAUCAAGAGGAUUGUAACCGAAUUAUUUAUCAUAAGAUCAUCUGGAAAAGUGCUAUUUGACUAAAAAUACAAUUCAUUACUUGAAGUUUUAAUAACUUCUGAAAUACUGUUUCUGUAGGAUUAGCAACACGAAUUAUUUGAAGUUGUUUUGUCUUUCGAGUUGUUAAAUUUAAGUCUCGUCAAAUUGAAUGGAUACAAUUUGCAUAACUGGAGAUUAUGAUAGGUGAGUUUAUUCACAAUAAUUACUUGAAGAUUGUUAUUAGGACUUUAUUUGUAUUAACAUAGACAUUAUUCACAAUAAUGCAAACCUGAAAUACUUCGUAAUAUCAGAAGUUUCAAAUUUGCUAAUAUGAAAAAAGUUUUUUACUACCAUUAUUAUAUUUGUUAAUCAAAAUGAAACUCUACUUACAUCUUCAAUAAAUCUGUUUUGACACA